CACGCACGAUGGCGGAAGGGCUCGUCAGCUGGGCUCGUGAGUGUCGCUGCGAGAGGAGCUUUGAUGAUGGAUGAAGAAGAAGAAGAAGAUGAUGAUGAUGAUGAUGAUGGAUGAAGAAAAUGAUGAUGAGUGAGCAUCAGCAGCAGUAUCAACCAGUCCGUCCUCAGAGUCAUCCCAGUUUGAAGAAACACGACUUGGUGUUUGUGUGGGUGCAGGGGACAGAAGAAGAAGAAGAGAAAAGACUCUGAUUCUGAUCAAUGCCAGAAUUCAGAAAAUCCCACGGCAUUGACAUUCAUGUGUAUACAGGCAGUGUUAAGGCUAUCGUCUGCAUUUGUUUCACACCCUGAGUGUGACAGAGGGAGAGGUGUUUACAUCCUACGCAUUUCACAGCCUGCAGGAAGGAUUACUGCUCGGUUACACCUUUGGCCUGGAGGGCUUUUAAAUUGGUCUACCCCCGGCACUGACUGCACCCUCAGGUCGGCCAAAACCUUAACUGAGAGAAAAGUUGUAAAAAUCAGUUAACAUACAUUAUAAUGCAAGACAAAUAGCACAAAGGGAUAUUCUUGAACGCACUUCACUUGACAAUUAGACAUAGUAAACAGGAAGCAAAAUGAUCACUAACAAGAAUUAGAAAGUAGAUCACUUCCUUGCAGCCAGUUUCAUUUUUGAAAUGAUUUGCAGCUACAAUCUUUCACCACAUAAUCACAUAACCCCGACUUUAGAGUUUGUGUAAGAGACAAAGAAUUUAAAUGAAGAAAAAAAAGGAUCUACUAAUAGUGAGACCAAUAAAUCUUUCAGAGUAAAACGGUGACUUUCCUUUAACUAAACAAAGUCAGUUAUGAAACAAAUGUGCUUCACUCAUUUAUUCUGUAGAUGUGGUGUGACUGUGUACAAUGGCAAAUAUUAUAUCGAUUUUUAUCCACUAAUUUAUCUGAUCAGUUUGGUUAUUUUGCCCAGUUAGAUUAAUAAUUAAAAAUCUUAUCAAUUG